rnacentral:rRNA from 1 species
CUACGGGUGGCAGCAGUGGGGAAUAUUGGACAAUGGGCGAAAGCCUGAUCCAGCCAUGCCGCGUGUGUGAAGAAGGCCUUCGGGUUGUAAAGCACUUUCAGUGGGGAAGAAAGCCUUGGGGCUAAUACCCUCGAGGAAGGACAUCACCCACAGAAGAAGCACCGGCUAACUCCGUGCCAGCAGCCGCGGUAAUACGGAGGGUGCGAGCGUUAAUCGGAAUUACUGGGCGUAAAGCGCGCGUAGGCGGUCUGAUAAGCCGGUUGUGAAAGCCCCGGGCUCAACCUGGGAACGGCAUCCGGAACUGUCACGCUAGAGUGCAGGAGAGGAAGGUAGAAUUCCCGGUGUAGCGGUGAAAUGCGUAGAGAUCGGGAGGAAUACCAGUGGCGAAGGCGGCCUUCUGGACUGACACUGACGCUGAGGUGCGAAAGCGUGGGUAGCAAACAGGACUAGAUACCCGAGUAGUC